AAGUGCUUUAAGGUUGGGUGGUUGAUCUCUUUCAACUGAUAAUCAUGGCAUUGCCACUAGCUCCCAAUGCAUAUAUGAAAUCUCCUAGACUAGGAGAAUCAAGAUAAUAUCAUCUGGAGUUUUCAAAUGCAUGGAAAAGUGCUGUUGGGCAUUUUUUGCCAGGUGUAGUGUAGUUAUUGCCAUAACAAAGAAUUUCAAAUGAAAGGCAUAGAAAUACGUCACAGAUUAAGUAGGGUUUGAAUUUUGAAAUAUAAUAUGAAGAAAUGUGUGGUACAGUCUAUAAUACUAUGACGUACAAAUCAUAGUAGCAUACAUGUUAUCCCUCAAAUGACAGCCAAACUAGAAUAUUGAACUCCUUGAUGCCUAAAUAAGUAAGAUGGAUUUGUGUGUUGCCAUAAGUUACAGUUUCCAUCUGUGUAUAAUUGUUGUAGCAUACUAAAGGUCAAAUCUCAUUUAUUGGUUAAUUGUUAGACAAGAAACUAAGUAGGAAAAUGCAAAAUUGUCAUGUUUUGCUUGAACAAAUAUAAUGAUUUUGUAUACAUGUCACAAGGGGCUGAAGUUGUUUUAUCCGUCUUCCAUCCAGUAACAAAAUUAUUAACCUGUAUUGGCACUACAGUGAUGGAAACAAAGAACCAGAUAAGCACAGAGAAGUAUGCUGCUGAUAUCUCUUCCAUAGGAGAUGCACAAGUGCGCAUUAAUUCAUUUGUUCACAAAACACCAGUUCUUACCUCAGAAUCUCUAAAUGCCAUGUCUAGAAGGAAGCUAUUCUUUAAAUGUGAAUGUUUUCAGAAGGGCGGAGCAUUCAAAUUCAGAGGGGCCUGCAAUGCCAUAUUUUCUCUUGAUGGUGAUCAGGCAGCUAAAGGGGUUGUAACACAUAGCAGUGGCAACCAUGCUGCAGCAUUAUCUUUGGCUGCAAAAUUACGUGGGAUCCCAGCAUAUGUAGUUAUACCAAAAAAUGCUCCAAAAUGCAAAAUUGAGAAUGUCAAACGUUACGGUGGUCAGAUUAUAUGGAGUGAGCCUACAGUACAGUCUAGGGAAAGUGUUGCAACCAAGGUAUUGCAAGAAACUGGUGCAGCUCUUAUUCAUCCAUAUAAUGAUGGGCGCAUUAUAAGUGGACAGGGUACCAUAUCAUUGGAGAUUCUGGAGCAAGCCCCGCAAAUUGACACUAUAAUUGUUCCCAUAAGCGGAGGCGGUUUAAUAUCAGGAGUGGCAUUGGCUGCUAAGUCCAUCAACCCUUCUAUUCGAGUUUUGGCUGCAGAACCUAGGGGAGCUAAUGAUGCAGCUCAAUCCAAAGCAGCUGGUGAGAUUGUAAGAUUGCCUGAAACCAACACUAUUGCUGAUGGACUCCGAGCUUUUCUUGGAAGUUUGACAUGGCCUAUAGUACGUGAUUUUGUAGAUGACGUUAUAGUUGUGGAAGAUAAGGAGAUUUUAGAAGCCAUGAAACUCUGUUAUGAGAUUCUGAAAGUUGCCAUAGAACCUAGUGGAGCUAUUGGCCUUGCAGCUGUUUUAUGUGAUAGUUUCCAAAAAAACCCCAGGUGGAAGGAUUGCAGCAACAUAGCUAUCAUACUUUCAGGAGGUAAUGUUGAUCUUGGUGUCCUUUGGGAUUCAUUCGGAAGAUAACAGUCAAAUUAUUGGUCCAUUUAGUCCUCGUUCCUAUGGAGCUUGUUUAUUGAUGAUUAAGGACAAAUGUUACUCUGGCUGGAGUCAUUACUGCAUUUGAUAUUUCAUUUACCCUCAUUGCGCUUUAAUUAAUUCUAACAAAA
rnacentral:misc_RNA from 1 species